GACGAACGCUGGCGGCGUGCUUAACACAUGCAAGUCGAACGGAAAGGCCUGCUUUCCCUUGUGGAUUGCGGGUACUCGAGUGGAGAACGGGUGAGUAACACGUGGGUGAUCUGCCCCCAACUUGGGUAUAAGCCUGGGAACCUGGGUCUAAUUCCCGAUAGGACUGCAGGCUGGUGCCUGUGGUGGAAAACGAUUUUCUAGUGGUUGGGGAUGAGCUCGCGGCCUAUCAGCUUGUUGGUGGGGUAAUGGCCUACCAAGGCGGCGACGGGUAGCCGGCCGGAGAGGGUGGAAGGCGACAUGGGGACUGGGAUAGGGCCCAGACGACUACGGGAGGCAGCAGUGGGGAAUAGUGCACAAUGGUGGGGAGCCUGAUGCAGCGACGGCGCGUGGGGGAUGACGGCCUUCGGGUUGUAAACUCCUUUCGACCGCGAGGAAGCCACCUGGUUGGAAGGGUGGUGACGGUAGUGGUAGAAGAAGCACCGGCUAACUACGUG
rnacentral:rRNA from 1 species